GCGGCGGACGGGUGAGUAACACGUGGGUAACCUGCCCAUAAGACUGGGAUAACUCCGGGAAACCGGGGCUAAUACCGGAUAACAUUUUGAACCGCAUGGUUCGAAAUUGAAAGGCGGCUUCGGCUGUCACUUAUGGAUGGACCCGCGUCGCAUUAGCUAGUUGGUGAGGUAACGGCUCACCAAGGCAACGAUGCGUAGCCGACCUGAGAGGGUGAUCGGCCACACUGGGACUGAGACACGGCCCAGACUCCUACGGGAGGCAGCAGUAGGGAAUCUUCCGCAAUGGACGAAAGUCUGACGGAGCAACGCCGCGUGAGUGAUGAAGGCUUUCGGGUCGUAAAACUCUGUUGUUAGGGAAGAACAAGUGCUAGUUGAAUAAGCUGGCACCUUGACGGUACCUAACCAGAAAGCCACGGCUAACUACGUGCCAGCAGCCGCGGUAAUACGUAGGUGGCAAGCGUUAUCCGGAAUUAUUGGGCGUAAAGCGCGCGCAGGUGGUUUCUUAAGUCUGAUGUGAAAGCCCACGGCUC
rnacentral:rRNA from 1 species